rnacentral:lncRNA from 1 species
UGGAAGUUUAUAUAAAGUUGGCUAUGAGGUCUCAAUACAUAUCAUCACUGAAGGUGGUAAAACAUUUUUGGAAGGAAGAUAACAUAAUAUCAGAGGUGAAGAUUACAAAGAUUUUGUUGUAGUAAUAAAUACAGUGCAUAAUAUAUUCAAAUUGAUGAAAGCUUUUGGAGCCUUGUCUUUUUAGAUUUUUAAGGGAUUCGCUUUUAGUUGUUUACUUGUAUAGCCACUUUCUAUUGGGAGGUCAAGCUCCUAAAAUUUGACUCGUGAAACAUAAUUAAAUUGUAGGCUAUUUUAUUAUUUUAAUUCCAUAUGUUUCAUAUAAAAUAAAUUCAAAUAUUAUAGAGAUUUUGCUUAUAGCAUGAGUUUUUUCAAAUAUAUUUUCUUUUACAAUACAUUGGUUGGGUCAUGAUGAGUGCAUGUGCAUGGAAUGCUUGCUUUCUUUUACAUAUCAACUUAAAAACUUUAGCUCGUUGCACAAAUCUUUGUUUUCAUAAUAUGAGAUUUGAUAUUAUUAUUAUAUAUCCUCUCUGAGACUAGAGCGAGUAGCAAAGAUGUCCAUAUCAUAGUAACUUUUUUUUUUAUCAAUAUUUGGUAUGGGAACCGUUCAUGUUUCUUGUUAUUAUAUAUUUCAAAAUGUCUUAUUUUUUGUGCA